AUUGAACGCUGGCGGCGUGCCUAAUACAUGCAAGUCGGGCGCAGGAAGCCGUCUGAACCCUUCGGGGGGACGACGGUGGAAUGAGCGGCGGACGGGUGAGUAACACGUAAAGAACCUGCCCAUAGGUCUGGGAUAACCACGAGAAAUCGGGGCUAAUACCGGAUGUGUCAGCGGACCGCAUGGUCCGCUGAUGAAAGGCGCUCCGGCGUCGCCCAUGGAUGGCUUUGCGGUGCAUUAGGUAGUUGGUGGGGUAACGGCCCACCAAGGCGACGAUGCAUAGCCGACCUGGGAGGGUGAUCGGCCACAAUGGGACUGAGACACGGCCCAGACUCCUACGGGAGGCAGCAGUAGGGAAUCUUCCACAAUGGACGAAAGUCUGAUGGAGCAACGCCGCGUGAACGAUGAAGGCUUUCGGGUCGUAAAGUUCUGUUGUAAGGGAAGAACAAGUGCCGCAGGCAAUGGCGGCACCUUGACGGUACCUUGCGAGAAAGCCACGGCUAACUACGUGCCAGCAGCCGCCGUAACAC
rnacentral:rRNA from 1 species